rnacentral:rRNA from 1 species
AUGAACGCUGGCGGCGUGCCUAAUACAUGCCAGUCGAGCGAACGGAUGAGAAGCUUGCUUCUCUGAUGUUAGCGGCGGACGGGUGAGUAACACGUGGAUAACCUACCUAUAAGACUGGGAUAACUUCGGGAAACCGAAGCUAAUACCGGAUAAUAUUUUGAACCGCAUGGUUCAAAAGUGAAAGACGGUCUUGCUGUCACUUAUAGAUGGAUCCGCGCUGCAUUAGCUAGUUGGUAAGGUAACGGCUUACCAAGGCAACGAUGCAUAGCCGACCUGAGAGGGUGAUCGGCCACACGGGAACUGAGACACGGUCCAGACUCCUACGGGAGGCAGCAGUAGGGAAUCUUCCGCAAUGGGCGAAAGCCUGACGGAGCAACGCCGCGUGAGUGAUGAAGGUCUUCGGAUCGUAAAACUCUGUUAUUAGGGAAGAACAUAUGUGUAAGUAACUGUGCACAUCUUGACGGUACCUAAUCAGAAAGCCACGGCUAACUACGU